AUGAGAAGAUGACUCACGGCCGGAUC
rnacentral:piRNA from 1 species